GGAGAGGUGGCCGAGCGGUCGAAGGCGGCUCCCUGCUAAGGAGUUGUGGGGUUUACGCCCCACCGCGGGUUCGAAUCCCGCCCUCUCCGCCA
rnacentral:tRNA from 1 species